rnacentral:rRNA from 1 species
GACGUAGGGCGCGAGCGUUGUCCGGAUUUAUUGGGCGUAAAGAGCUCGUAGGCGGCUCGUUGCGUCGGCUGUGAAAACCCACAGCUUAACUGUGGGCCUGCAGCCGAUACGGGCGAGCUAGAGUUCGGUAGGGGAGACUGGAAUUCCUGGUGUAGCGGUGAAAUGCGCAGAUAUCAGGAGGAGCACCGGUGGCGAAGGCGGGUCUCUGGGCCGACACUGACGCUGAACAGCGAAAGCCAGGGGAGCAAACGGG